UUUUUGAUAAGGCAUAUGCAUUCGCGGUAAUUGCCCAAGGGGAAGUGUUGUAAAACAACCGGACCUAGUAUAGAAGGAAAGGAGGACUAGAAGUCCUAGUCCUUGUCCGGUUGCUUGUGGGCUCUUACCAAGUCUCUAAGCUAGUUCGGAGUAUAUAUAUCGGAGGAGCACCCCUUGUUGUAAUACAUCAAUAUGAGGAAUAAAGAGAAGUUCCAUCUACAUUGUGUCUUGUCUACUUGUUCUUACGCUUAUCGUGAGAGGCGUGAGAGGGAGAAGAUCCAACCGCUGACGACGUGUUUCACAACAGAUAGGAACUCAAGGAUGGUAUAUUUGGGGGGUGUCUCGUUGCAUGGAUAUCAGGGUAUGUAUGGUCCAACCUGGUCUCUUGGAGUGUAAUAAAACUUUUGAGUUUGGUUGUCCAUAUGAAAUCUUAGGACUAGUAGUGCCUCAAUAGAAAGUUAGAUUUACUUUUCCUCCGUAGGAGUAAUGAUGUUAAUGUGUAAAUGUGUAAUGGGCAAUGUGGUAUAUUACUUCAAAGCAUGUUAAAUAUGAUAAAUUGGUGUUGGAGUAUAGUUUAAAAAAUAAACAUUGUUGUGGCACUACUCUUUUGUUAACUUUCUUGUCUCGUGCCGGUAUGUUUUGUAUGGAAACUUGAAUGCAUCUCUUCUUGGCUAGAUUAAAUAGUAUAAUCUAUUUAGUGUCUACUUUAAAUGGAUACAUGCAAAAAAAAAAUGACAUUAUGUAACCAUACCUCAUGGCUCAAUGAUAUGGUUAGAGGCGUGAGAAACCAAACAAACAUACUAUAUAUAAAUGUAGGGAUAUUUAGUUCCUUAGAGCUAUCAUGAAAACUCCCACGAGGAAUUUAUCUCGCGGACAGAUAUGUGCAUGUUUACUACAAUAGGUGUAAUAGGAUAGUCUAUCACCGAGUGGUUGUGGUGCCAGUGCCGGUGAGGUAGUAACGAGUCAUUUCUGACAUGUUAUAUUAUAUUCGUUACACCUAAUUAUUGUAGGUCGCUCAGUUUCUCAUGAAAUUCUAUCGACAACGUGGCUAGAUUGGUUAGAGAAUGGAGCUUUGGGGAUCUGGGAGUUCCAAAGAUGUCAAUCUUAGAAGACAUCUAGGGAAGACAUACUGGCCAAGUGGAGGAGGAGGGCAAUGUUAUGGCAUUAGUGAUGUUGUCAACCAUGGAGUAGAGGAGGUCUCGAGUGGGCAGUGACAAGGUGUAGAACUCUUAAUUGGAGUGGUUAGUGGCAGGGUGGUGGUGAGUGGCGACAGAUUCGGCAACGAGAUGUUUGUAGCUGAAUAUGGACAAAUUUGGGAAGGGCAAGGGAGCGCGUGCGCGGCAAGCUAUGUUGUUGAGAGAGAAUGCAACAAUGAAGGUAGCUAAGGCAUUUUAUUGUGACAAUCUCUGGCAUCACUUUUUUAUGACCUGCCAAAAUUUAUGCACCAAGGAAAUUGUGAAGACGGUGAACACGAAAGGUAUGAUAGCAGCACGCCAACCAGUGGCGGAGCUUAACUGGAAAUUUAGAGGGGGCCAGCUCCAUGCUUAAACUCAAAUUUAGCAUUAAUG
rnacentral:lncRNA from 1 species